rnacentral:rRNA from 1 species
GGCUCAUUAAAUCAGUUACGGUUCAUUGGAUAAUAAAUCGUCUACAUGGAUAACUGUGGUAAUUCUAGAGCUAAUACUUGCUAAAAGGGGUGACUCGUAAGGGAAACUUCGCAUAUAUUAGACCAAGACCAAUGGAGUUCUCGUAACUCCUUUGCAUGGUGACUCUGAAUAUACUAGCUGAUCGCACGGCCUAGCGCCGGCGACAAAUCUUUCAAGUGUCUGCCUUAUCAACUGUCGAUGGUAGGUUAUGCGCCUACCAUGGUUGUAACGGGUAACGGGGAAUCAGGGUUCGAUUCCGGAGAGGGAGCCUGAGAAACGGCUACCACAUCCAAGGAAGGCAGCAGGCACGCAAAUUACCCACUCCCGGCACGGGGAGGUAGUGACGAAAAAUAACAAUGCGGGACUCUUAUGAGGCCCCGUAAUUGGAAUGAGAACAAUUUAAAUCCUUUAGCGAGGAUCAAUUGGAGGGCAAGUCUGGUGCCAGCAGCCGCGGUAAUUCCAGCUCCAAUAGCGUAUAUUAAAGUUGCUGCGGUUAAAAAGCUCGUAGUUGGAUCUCAGUCUUCGCUGCUUGGGUCCACCGUGAGGUGGCUACUCGGCAGCGAGACGAAAAAAGCUGAACAAGUCGCUCGGUGCUCUUAACCGGGUGCCGACGACGAUCAGUACGUUUACUUUGAAAAAAUGAGAGUGCUCAAAGCAGGCCUUUAGGCCGGAAUAAUCUUGCAUGGAAUAAUGGAAUAGGACCUCGGUCUUAUUUUGUUGGUCUUCGAGACCUGAGGUAAUGAUUAAGAGGGACAGACGGGGGCAUUCGUAUGGCGGCGCUAGAGGUGAAAUUCUUGGACCGUCGCCAGACGAACUAAAGCGAAAGCAUUUGCCAAGAAUGUUUUCAUUAAUCAAGAACGAAAGUUAGAGGUUCGAAGGCGAUCAGAUACCGCCCUAGUUCUAACCAUAAACGAUGCCAACUAGCGAUCAGCCAGAGUUCGAAAAAUGACUCGGCUGGCAGCUUCCGGGAAACCAAAGUCUUUGGGUUCCGGGGGAAGUAUGGUUGCAAAGCUGAAACUUAAAGGAAUUGACGGAAGGGCACCACCAGGAGUGGAGCCUGCGGCUUAAUUUGACUCAACACGGGAAAACUUACCCGGCCCGGACACUAGAAGGAUUGACAGAUUGAGAGCUCUUUCUUGAUUUAGUGGGUGGUGGUGCAUGGCCGUUCUUAGUUGGUGGAGCGAUUUGUCUGGUUAAUUCCGAUAACGAACGAGACUCUAGCCUACUAAAUAGACCGGGGAGUCCUUGUGCCUCCCCGGGACUUCUUAGAGGGACAAACGGCGAGUAAGCCGAACGAGAGAGAGCAAUAACAGGUCUGUGAUGCCCUUAGAUGUCCGGGGCCGCACGCGCGCUACACUGAAGUGAUCAGCGUGCAUGUGUUCCCUCUCCGUGAGGAGAGGGUAACCCAAGGAACCUUCUUCGUGAUAGGGAUUGAGCAUUGUAAUUAUUGCUCAUGAACGAGGAAUUCCUAGUAGGCGCGAGUCAUUAGCUUGCGCUGAUUACGUCCCUGCCCUUUGUACACACCGCCCGUCGCUACUACCGAUUGAAUGAUAGAGUGAGGUCUUUGGACGAGUUGCCGGAGCUGCCUUCGGGUGGCACUGGAUGUGCUUGAAAGAUGCCCAAACUCGAUCAUUUAGAGGAAGUAAAAGUCG